rnacentral:rRNA from 1 species
CCAAUAGCGUAUAUUAAAGUUGUUGCAGUUAAAAAGCUCGUAGUUGAAUUUCGGGAUCAUCAGGUUGGUCGUGCCUCUGGUAUGUACUUGCUUCGGUGGUCCCUCCUUCUUGAAGAACCGUAAUGCCAUUAAUUUGGUGUUGCGGGGAAACAGGACUGUUACUUUGAAAAAAUUAGAGUGUUUAAAGCAGGCAAUCGCUUGAAUACAUUAGCAUGGAAUAAUGAAAUAGGACGUUCGAUCCUAUUUUGUUGGUUUCUAGGAUUGACGUAAUGAUUAAUAGGGAUAGUUGGGGGCAUUAGUAUUCAAUUGUCAGAGGUGAAAUUCUUGGAUUUAUUGAAGACUAACUACUGCGAAAGCAUUUGCCAAGGAUGUUUUCAUUAAUCAAGAACGAAAGUUAGGGGAUCGAAGACGAUCAGAUACCGUCGUAGUCUUAACCAUAAACUAUGCCGACUAGGGAUCGGAUGAUGUUAAUUUUUUAAUGACUCAUUCGGCGCCUUACG